UACGAAGGGGGCUAGCGUUGUUCGGAUUUACUGGGCGUAAAGCGCACGUAGGCGGAUCGAUCAGUCAGGGGUGAAAUCCCAGAGCUCAACUCUGGAACUGCCUUUGAUACUGUCGAUCUGGAGUAUGGAAGAGGUGAGUGGAAUUCCGAGUGUAGAGGUGAAAUUCGUAGAUAUUCGGAGGAACACCAGUGGCGAAGGCGGCUCACUGGUCCAAUUACUGACGCUGAGGUGCGAAAGCGUGGGGAGCAAACAGGA
rnacentral:rRNA from 1 species